rnacentral:lncRNA from 1 species
CUAGCAACUUUUGAUUAAGGAAGUUGAAAAACUGUUUCUUAUUUAAAUAGAUUGACAGAGAUAACGAUGCCAUUGCAUUUGAAAUUAAGGUACAGCAACUGACCCCAUCUGAAGAGGAGGGAGGAAAGGAAGUUUUUUUGCUGUUGGGGAAGCAAAAGGCCUGAACUGUAAAGCCAGUGGUGAUUUGUCAGACACGCAUGAGGAAGCAGAAAAGUUCCAAGAAAACCCAAGCAUCCAAAAUCUCAAAUGAUUGUUCCACAUCAGAAAAAAAGGAGAAAAAGCAGUCUUCAAAUGUGAUUUGUGCACAUUCACCUCACUCAGCAUAUCAAGUAUUAACCAUCACAUGAAAAUUCGUUCUGAAGAAAAAUAUCAUGUGUGUCACCUCUGCCUUAAGGCUUUUCAUUCAGCUACUCUCGUGCCUAACCAUGUGAAUGCAGGAGGUACCUCACAAAAACCUACAUCCAGGUUGUAUGGAGGAGUUUCUUCUCAAAGCCACAAAAAUAGCCCAGAUCUCCAUGAAGCCGUUUCAUGUCUCAAAUUGCUUCGUUCUCAACUCUACUUAAAAACUCCAUCUAGCUAUACAAGGCACUAAAAUAUAUUGAAUACUUUAUAUAUAUAUUUAUGUUUUUGCAUAUGGAAAAU